rnacentral:siRNA from 1 species
UCUCCUCCUCUCGCUUCCCUUUGC